rnacentral:lncRNA from 1 species
AAAUAAGAGCCUUAGUGAUCAUAAUUUUAAACGUCAAAAGGAAAUGGAUUUUCUCAACGGGCUAUUCUUUACUUUGGUUGUCAUGAAAAAUAAGAAUGAUGCUUUGGCCGUUGUUUCUACUAUCCAAACACUAUCCAUUCUUUGCAUCCUCGUUUGAGCCUAAAUUGGUGGUUCGUUUCAAAAGCACUUAUGAUCGCACCCCCACACUGGGGAAGGAGAUUUGAGAAUUGAAAAAAUGGCAAAGAUGCUCAAAAUUUUUGCAAGAGAAAAAUUACAAGUUGGGGGAAUUUGACUCUACCAUUGAUAUUUUGGUCUUCAAUAUCAAAAAGAAACAGGGGCCAUCUACACUCCAAAUUAGGGAGUUUUCAAUUUUAUCAUUGACAUUGGGAUAUCAGUAUUGAUAAAAAAAAAAA